rnacentral:tRNA from 1 species
GGGGUUGUGGCUCAAUGGUAGAGCGCUUACCUGGCGUGUGUGAGGAACUGGGUUCGAUUCUCAGCACCA